rnacentral:rRNA from 1 species
UACGUAGGGGGCAAGCGUUAUCCGGAUUUACUGGGUGUAAAGGGAGCGUAGACGGCGGCGCAAGCCAGAUGUGAAAGCCCGGGGCUCAACCCCGGGACUGCAUUUGGAACUGUGCCGCUAGAGUGUCGGAGAGGCAGGCGGAAUUCCUAGUGUAGCGGUGAAAUGCGUAGAUAUUAGGAGGAACACCAGUGGCGAAGGCGGCCUGCUGGACGACGACUGACGUUGAGGCUCGAAAGCGUGGGGAGCAA